rnacentral:rRNA from 1 species
CCUAAACUUGGCCGUUUGNUUUUUUACCAGAAUUAUACAUGCAAGUCUCAGCACACCAGUGAAAACGCCCACUAAUCCCUAAACAGACAGCUGGAGCAGGUAUCAGGCACACCAAAAGUCAAGCCAACAACACCAAGCUUCGCCACACCCACACGGGUCAUCAGCAGUAAUUGAUAUUAAGCAAUAGGCGACAUUUAAGCCUGACUUAGUCACGGUACAUUAGGGUUGGUUAAUUUCGUGCCAGCCACCGCGGUUAUACGAAAAACCCGAAACAACGGCCUUCGGCGUAAAGCGUGGCAAGAACUUUUUGCCAAAAAAUUAAUGGGAAACUUAACCAAAGCUGUAAAACGCCACGGUAUAUAAGAAC